ACAUCGAUAGCUCAGUGGCAGAGCGGUGGGGCGUUUACCCAUGCGGCCCGGGUUCGAUCCCCGGUCGAUGCA